rnacentral:rRNA from 1 species
UACGAAGGGGCUAGCGUUGUUCGGAAUUACUGGGCGUAAAGCGUGCGUAGGUGGUUUGUUAAGUCUGCUGUGAAAGCCCCGGGCUCAACCUGGGAAUGGCAGUGGAUACUGGCAAGCUGGAGUGCGGUAGAGGGUAGUGGAAUUCCCGGUGUAGCGGUGAAAUGCGUAGAGAUCGGGAGGAACACCAGUGGCGAAGGCGGCUACCUGGACCAGCACUGACACUGAGGCACGAAAGCGUGGGGAGCAAACAGG